AACGAACGCUGGCGGCAUGCCUAACACAUGCAAGUCGAACGAGACCUUCGGGUCUAGUGGCGCACGGGUGCGUAACGCGUGGGAACCUGCCCUUAGGUUCGGAAUAACUCCCCGAAAGGGGUGCUAAUACCGGAUAAUGUCUUCGGACCAAAGAUUUAUCGCCUUUGGAUGGGCCCGCGUUGGAUUAGCUAGUUGGUAGGGUAAAAGCCUACCAAGGCGACGAUCCAUAGCUGGUCUGAGAGGAUGAUCAGCCACACUGGGACUGGGACACGGCCCAGACCCCACCGGAGGGCGGCGGUGGGAAUAUUGGACAAUGGGCGAAAGCCUGAUCCAGCAAUGCCGCGUGAGUGAUGAAGGCCUUAGGGUUGUAAAGCUCUUUUACCCGGGAUGAUAAUGACAGUACCGGGAGAAUAAGCUCCGGCUAACUCCGUG
rnacentral:rRNA from 1 species